rnacentral:rRNA from 1 species
UACGGAGGGAGCUAGCGUUGUUCGGAAUCACUGGGCGUAAAGCGCACGUAGGCGGAUGUGUCAGUCAGGGGUGAAAUCCCGGAGCUCAACUUCGGAACUGCCUUUGAUACAGCACGUCUUGAGUCCGAUAGAGGUGGGUGGAAUUCCUAGUGUAGAGGUGAAAUUCGUAGAUAUUCGGAAGAACACCAGUGGCGAAGGCGGCUCACUGGACUGGUAUUGACGCUGAGGUGCGAAAGCGUGGGGAGCAAACAGG